UUAUGGCUGUCGUCAGCUCGUGUCGUGAGAUGUUGGGUUAAGUCCCGCAACGAGCGCAACCCUCGUUCUAUGUUGCCAGCGGGUUAUGCCGGGGACUCAUAGGAGACUGCCGGGGUCAACUCGGAGGAAGGUGGGGAUGACGUCAAAUCAUCAUGCCCCUUAUGUCUUGGGCUUCACGCAUGCUACAAUGGCCAGUACAAAGGGCUGCGAUGCCGUAAGGUGGAGCGAAUCCCAAAAAACUGGUCUCAGUUCGGAUUGGGGUCUGCAACUCGACCCCAUGAAGUCGGAGUCGCUAGUAAUCGCAGAUCAGCAACGCUGCGGUGAAUACGUUCCCGGGCCUUGUACACACCGCCCGUCAAGUCACGAAAGUCGGUAACACCCGAAGCCGGUGGCCCAACUCGCAAGAGGGGGAGCCGUCGAAGGUGGGACUGGCGAUUGGGACUAAGUCGUAACAAGGUAGCCGUACCGGAAGGUGCGGCUGGAUCACCUCCUUUCUAAGGAGCACUGGCAUCCCCUGUUGGGGGUGUCCAGGUAGCCCGCCACGGCCGUUCGCGUUGUGGGGGUUGCUCACGGGUGGAUCAUCGAUUAUUUGGCGCCGCGCAGUGGUGGUGGUUUGCAAGUACUGGUUUCUUGUCCUUCGGGGUGGGGGCCGUGGAAAGCGCGCCGACCGGUGGGUGGCCUCUGGCACGUUGUUGGGUCCUGAGGGCUCGGGCGCAAGCUCGGUGUUUUCAGUGGGCCUCACCUGUUCUCGUACCGGGUACCCCUUCUUUUGGGCUGGGGUGCUUUUGGCGGGGGUCUGUUGGUGGGGUGCCGCCCGUAUGUUGAGAACUACACAGUGGACGCGAGCAUCUUUGUGGCCAAGUUUUUAAGGGCGCACGGUGGAUGCCUUGGUACCAGGAACCGAAGAAGGACGUAGGAAUCUGCGAUAAGCCACGGGGAGUCGAUAACCAGACUGUGAUCCGUGGAUUUCCGAAUGGGGAAACCCGG
rnacentral:sRNA from 1 species